UAACUGCGAUAAGCAAUGCGAAUUGCAGAAUCCGCGAGUCAUCAGAUUUUCGAACGCAACUGGCACUAUGAGUCAAUUACUUAUAGUAAGUUUGUUUCAGUCUUUUUGAUUAUUACACACCAAAAUGUGAUUGAACUUCGGUUCUCUCAUCAAACGUGAAUACGACAUAUCUCAAUCCAACGAAGCAGUCACGGUCUACGACAGUGAUUUCGGUGGCUCUUGGACUAUGGACAGUAUAGAGACGCUAGUCUUUAAAAAUAAUCUUAAGCUGAAAUCAAACUGGAUUACCCGCUGAACUUAA
rnacentral:misc_RNA from 1 species